rnacentral:lncRNA from 1 species
AUUUCCCUGAGAACACCUCGUAGCGUCCGUCUGACGCGCGGAAACGUGGACCACUGCAAGAGAAAGCCGAUGACAAGAGAAGGGAAAUCGAGACGCGUCCUUCGGUCGGGCACCACGGAGCUUCGCGCGAGUGCCCAACUCACCCGCCUCACCGCCGUUGGCAUUUUCCCCAAACACAGCGCACAUGCAUCGAGGAAAACCAAUUGUAAAGGCUGUGUCACCGAGGUUGCCAAACGUUCCAAGACGGCGAAACGCGUUGGCGCGCCGUGCACGUGCGCACAGUGUGCCUGAGCACGUUUGUCAAUUGGUAACACUGGUCCACAUGUAUGCCGCUUUGCAGAAAUACGAACAACAUGUUGGCGGUGAAUUCGACUGUCCAAUACCAAGACUUGCGACGUUUUGGAUACCCCCCGCGUCAAAACGUUUCCAUUUUCACAAGGAAGUGAACACGAGUCUGCUAUCGUGCGUUCCCUGGUUCCCCGUCCGGGGAGUAGCAGUAUCGUCUCUCUUCCCCCUUCCAUGCGUCUCACAUGAACAAACUGUGGCUGCUCCCGGCUGCUUCGCUCCAUCGGCAGCUUUCUUGAAAUAUCGAGAUAUGUGUGGCCACGCAGAGUCGACCGCCUGGGCACCCGUCUACGCCUUUACGGCCGUCGAGCGUUGGGUGCCUCAACACGGACGUAAGCCUCGGCUGUCGCGUGUUUUUGCUAUCCACAGUGGCGCAUCAGUCAGGCAAAUCCCCUUCUGUGUGUUUCCUCGACAGAACCCGGAAACUGACAGAUUGAACGCUUAAAGGAGUGAGGGCCUGGCGCAACGGGUGGCGAGCUGGGGGGAGGGUGCGUCCAACUACGUUGUUCUGUCUGUGCAGGUUUAUCGCACUGCGUGACUCUCUUCUUCUCUUCUGAGACGGCUUGUGCCUUCUGCACAAACCCUGUGGACCUGACCCCUGGGCGCGACUCGAUCCUAGACCGCUGACCACGCAGAGCUGCCACGAAGCGCGGCCUGACACGAGAAAGCGCAGGGGGAGGCAGGCGCCGUUGCCUUCGAACCAGUGCUUUGACCUUAGCACGCGUGCAGUUGCUGGAGCGUUUUCGCACCAAAGACUUUCUGCAUCGCGAACCCGAAGCCCCGGCCUUUUCCUCACCCAUGAGGAACGUGUGCGAGAGAAGACACAGAGACAGGAAAACGGGCCAGUCUCCCAGCCAUGCCUGCAUCACAAACCUGGUACGAGCUCGACGCGUACAGCAGGCGGGAGGGGCUCUUUUUCGCGUGGGGAUUUGGCGUCGGCUGCAAAGAGCGCGUCUGCAAAGACGUCCUCCAAACGCAGUCGGGCCGAAGCAUCUUCGCGGACCAUUUUCGCUGCGAGAGCUGCCAGGCGCCGCGCCUCCUCUUUCUGCUGCGCCUGGCUGGGCCACCGUACAGACGCCGCGGGCGAGGCGCCAGCUUUUCUCUUUGGAAACAGAGAGGACAGCCACCCCGAACGCACAGAGACACUGAACAGCCCCCGCAGCGUCGCCCAUCUCUGCUUCGCCAAAACGUUCGGCUCCAGAACGUUCGUCGCCAGUUCCGCGAACGCCUUCCCGAGGUUGGCAAUGUCGGCCUGCUCUGUCCGAGCCGCUCGCGCCUCGGCCUUCGGCGUCAGCCUCUGCGCAGGUCCACUAGGCGCUGCAGGCUGGGCUUCCUUCCGUUCCGCUCCAUCGCUUCCGCCUCGCGCCGAGUUUUUCGCACCCAGUGCCUCGCUUCUCCCAGAGAGGCCCUCUGCGCUCUGUUGGCCGAGCGCCUCGCCACCUCCACUCUGCUCGCCUUCCUUGCGUUCUGCGCCCCAGAUCGUCUGCCACAUCCGCGCUAGAGCAGCGAGGAGAGCGGCCCCGAUGCCGUGCUUCGCCGUCUCCGCUGGCUCGGCUGCGGAGACCGCCGCGAGAACGUUCAGGCGAAUGUGUCCCUCGAGGUCCACCUCAAAGUGCGAAAGCUCCAGAGACAGCGGAGACUUCACGCCUGCAGCCCGCAGCGCGCGCACCGCGAGGGCCAUCUCGCGGGCUGCCCUCGACACGUGGAGAGCCUUGGGGUGUUUCGCGACGUUGUCGAGAGAUCCUUUUGACGCCGGGAAGAAAAAGUAGAGGAGCGGGGCCUCGGCAUCGCGGAAAAUGCCGAGCGGUUCGAAGAGGAAGGCGCCUUGUUUCCGCAGGAAUGAUGCGGACCGCUCGACAAUCAGCUCUCGGAUACUCGCCGACAGCGAAAAGGGCUCUGUCGGGUGCGACUCCGCAUGCGCCAGCGGCAGCGCUGUGACGACCGUGCUCUCGCUGCCGGAUGGCUGUUUCCCUUGCACAGCGGCCAGGCGCUCCUUCACUGUAGGGCCAACGUCAUUCACGUGAACAGACAGGGGCGCAUGCGUCAGAGCCUCCGAGCGAAACCUAGACAGCUCUUCACUCAGUGCUCCGUCCAGUGUCGGCAGUUUCGCCACGAAACGCCUCCAUCGUAUGUCCUUUAGGCGAAUUCCUGCGCAGACAGAGAGAGAGAGAGUCUACGAGCGAACGUGGAAAACCCGAGCGUCGCACCACACGCAUGCCGCGAAGAUGUGGCUAGGCAGCUUGACUCGAGCUCGCGCUUCGAAACUACCGACGGGCGAACGCUCAGACGAAACGUUCGGGCGAAAAAAGCAAAAUCGCAACUUACUGUAGUGCACCAGAACCGCCACGACGACCGCCGACAGGAAAACGAGCUGAGCACGUCGCCUAUAGAAAAACAGUCGCGGAACCCCAAAUCGAUGUGGAGAUUCGUGCACGGCUGGCUAAUUCACAAAGCUGGGACUGCGGACUUCCCCACGAAACUACCCACCUAUCUGCAUCCAUCUCCAUACUAUAUAUAUAUAUAUAUAUACGUAUAUGUAUGUAUAUGUAUAUAUAUACAUAUAGGCAUGUCCUAAACAUAUAUACAUGCAUGUCGUGUGCACGCAAGCUGGAAUGAGCAGCGAUGCCGAGCUCUCCACGUUCUCGUGGCAUAGACCGCCAGCGGAAAAGCGAGUUGAGACGGGGGUGAUUCUGCACAAAUGACUCGGGGAUGAUGUGAGCAGUCGUGCACGCGUUGUGGCGCCUUACCCCCUUCUUCCUUCAGAGGGGCCAGCGCGUGAGAGACGCAGCCUCGAGUAGCGGAAAGCGGAGGAAUAGUCAAAGAAGUGGAUGGCUCUGUGAGGACUCCACGUCGCGCCUGUCUGUAGGUUUCCCCCCGAUUCCUGCAGACAGGAGAAAAGAUCGAAAUGCCGCCGAGCGCCCAUGGAAGGAGGUUGUGUGAAAAGGCGCCGGAGAAAGAGGACGCACUGGCGGAUUCUAAGGCGCCUGCCGAGGAAGGAAAACGAACGACCUGUCGCAGUCCCCGGCGUGGCAGCGAUGUAUCAGCCUGUGCGUGUUUGCACCAGCGCGGUGGCGGUUGCACAGAAAACGGGGAGUUCUCGCUGUAGGCGGUCGCCUUGUUUCGAAAUGCAGAAUCUCGAGACGCGAUCGCCAGUGCUGGACAAUUUGUCGCCCCCAUUUUCGGAAAUUGUGAAACCGAUCCUCCAGAGAUACAAAAGUUCAGAUCGAAAGAGAGGGGUGAAGAGCAGUUAUCGAGGAAUGGUCGGAGUGCUUGUGGGUAAACCCGUGACACAUACCAAGGAUGGGAGAGCGCCUCUACGGAGUAGGGGCGAGGAAGACGUACCUUGACGAAGAAGCGGAAUUCGUCAGGGUCGUCGUCAGCGCUCUCAGAUGUGCUACUGUGCCGGGGGUGAAGGAAGAUGGACUCUGUCGCUUCGGACUCGUGGAAUUGUCUCCCCGGAUGCCACGGCGAGUCUUCACGCGACUGCUGUGUCUGCAGUGGCGAUUCGGAAGAAGGAUCCCCGGCGACGGACCCGUGGCUAAGACCGAAGGCAAGGAGCAAGAGAACAGACCAUUGCAGAAAAGAGGCGGCAGGAACCCAGGACGAGAGAGAGAGAAAGCGGUCGGGGGACGAGGAAACGAGCACCAUGUUCUGGAGACAUGGUCUACAUGCACUGCGGAGGAAAAGAAGGGCGAGUAAAACAACAGGCAGAACGGACGAGCCAAAGAAACGCCCUAGCGGGAUUCGCUCUUUCUGUGUACAUACGGCGGAAGCUGUCCGUUUUUUGCCCCGUGCAAGUUGAAGAAAAAGCCCGCAAGGCAGCAGCCGCCUGGAGUGGGCAAAACAAGACGGUUCCUUCCCUGCGGCAGAGGGAGCGUAGUUAUUAGAACAGGACAACAGUACGGGACUCGUCGGCAGCGGUGAGCGACCGCGGAAAACAGGAAACCGGCUCGGUCAGUGUUCACGAGCAGAAAGUUCGGUCACUCAAACGGUGUGAUGUUUGAAACUUGGAAGGUGGCUGACACAGUUCACGUCCUUUCUCGCGAAGGCGGGAAUCGAGCUCGGCUUCACUGCUGCGACGUUUUGAAAACCUAUCGUGGUCCUCGACUUGAGGAAAGCGCCUGGAGCAAGCGUUCUGCGUUCCGGACAGGUUUCUUCGUUCUCAAAGCGAUUAGAAGCAUGCUUGUCGCCCUGAGGCAUGCAGGCGGGAAAAGCGCAGCGCUGUUACCGGCCACGCAAGGACGGACCAUAGUGCCUUAAUGCACCUAAACGGCCGCUCGAAAUUCCUGUGCCUCAGCACGGGAUGCGGCUUGCGUUGCCGGGGAAAAACAUGUUCGUUUCAAAGCACGAUGCGCGACCUUCGCGGCCGCUCUCUGGUGACUCUCUCGUGCAUAGAGGGCGGGCCACACGUCCACAAAGCUCACUGGACGAGAGUCCGGGUGAUGCACGGACGCCGGAGCACAAAGGACCAGACGGGUGUGCCUUCUUUUCGCGGCUCCGACUGUUUUGGGAAAAGCGGAGAACACGUCGCCGCUGCAUCCUACGUCAACCUGAAAGUCUUAGAGUGCAUCCGAGCACUGCAGAGACUUUUCGUGUGCAGUUCCCCCAAGGAUGGAGCCAGAGCGCGGAAAUUGUCAUUUGGAUCUUUUCCACGGACCCGCCCGUGGUGUCUGCGGUGUACCGUGCGUCGCGCUCGUGGGGAGGCCGACCCAGGGGGCGUUGCGCAGAUGGACGAGACGGGACAGGAACCUAAAGCGAGACGAAAGGGUGCUCUCUCCCAAACCUCGCGCUCAAAACAAAGCGUCCACGAAAAGGCUACCUUUGGAUGCGAGUAGGGUACGCCGAGCUCCGCCAUCAACUGGUCUCUCGCCCCAGUGGCGCCACCGCAAGCUCGGGUAAAAAAGAUAUCGCUGCAGGGCUAGACCCCGUCGUUUAGUCACGAGCUACCCUGGUGGGUUUCUGCCUUCCUUUAGCAAUGCGCUUUUGCUUGGUCACAUUCCUUGCGGUCCUCAUAUGAGAGAAUAUUUCCCUUCUGGGGCGCACCAGGAGAGGCACAGAUACAGUUUAGAGGCAAACAGACACGCAGGCGGACAGUUGGAUUCAGCAUCUUCGAGGGGCGAAACGCGCUUGGCGCAGGCGAAGCUCCAUGAACAUGAUGCAUUCAGUUCACUUCUCCUGUAUCUUGACCAAGCCAGGAUGGGCGGAAGCAAAAACGUUCGGCAGUUCUUGUCGAAGUUCGUCCAGAGCGCGCGUGCAUAAUAGCGUCCCGUUUUUUGCCAAACGUUUCUCCACACGCUCUAGCAUAAGAAGUCUACAUUCGUGCGAAGCGGUUGUCUGCCUGCUCAUCGCAGAAUGUGUACCAGGCUCUGACGAGCUGAAAACCUCCUUCCUGAUCCCGAAGAAAACAGUCCAGCGAGCCACGAUGUCUUCCUGAAACGCGCCCGGCAAUAAAACCGGGUGUCCUGUGGCAAGAGCAGCCCAAUGUAGUCAGAUUGAUAAACGCAGAUAGCGGAGGAAUCAGCAAAUGGU